rnacentral:rRNA from 1 species
GACAGAGGUCCCGAGCGUUAGGCGGAAUCACUGGGCUUAAAGCGUGUGUAGGCGGCGGCCUAAGUACCUUGUGAAAUCCCACGGCUCACCCGUGGAACUGCUCGGUAUACUGGGUCGCUUGAGCCACUUAGGGGCUACCGGAACAAAUGGUGGAGCGGUGAAAUGCGUAGAUAUCAAUUUGGAACGCCAAUGGUGAAAACAGGUAGCUGGGAGUGUGCUGACGCUGAGACACGAAAGCCAGGGGAGCAAACGGG